GUGGCAGCUAUUUGCAAAAGUAUGGACAGAGUUUUAACACGGGGGCUGAGGUGUCCCUGCAUGUGUUCACGAGUUCCCUCAAGGUGCAGAAGGUGUAGGAUGGAACUGGGGGUGGACGGUGGCGUGUUCCUGUGAAACAGGUGCGGGGGGGGGCAGGGUAGGGGGGGUGUCCCUUGCUUUCUUCCGAGGUCUUUCCGAUAACUUUCGCUCUGGCCACGAGGUGGUGCUCCUUCCCUGUCAAUGUUCUGUCAGACCCCAGUCCUGAAACUCCCCAGUCAACCCUCUGGCUUUGCUGGAGAGGGCCAGAGUCUUGGGAGACUUCGGAAAAACGCUUCAAAAAAUGAAUUCGGAGAAGACCCGCUAACCUGGUUUCCACCGCGCAGUUUCCUCAUUGCGGCUGGGUUUCCGCGGGGCCAGCGCCGGGCUCCAGGUUCGCUUUUCAGGCGCCUCUCCAGGACCUCGCCGAGUCCCUGGGGCCAGGAUUCACCCUGUGGCUGCUCCGGGAUCCUCCAACCCGAGGGGGAGAGUGCAGGAUCCAGCAAGCCCCGCAGCGCUGCAGGGGACUUUUCGUUUCCAGGUGAAACGUGGAGAGGGACUUGCUCUUCCCAAGCGGCAGCGUUUGAGGACCGGUUACUGCACAGCGCGCAGCCUGACCCUAACCCGGAAGGGUCUGGAGAAAGGCUUUCUUGGCUCCCGGCGCCGCAGGAUGCCCAGGAGCAGUUGGAAUGUAUCAAGUUGGGGGGCGAGGGGAGCGCUCACUCCCUCCUCUGCGCCGCGAGUUCACAUCCUUCCCCACUCGACUCGGCCUCAGGGCUGAGACUGAGUGCCCUGGGCUGGCCGAGUCAUGUCCCGCUCAGCAUCCCAGAGUGGAGAGAGAAGUGGACCUUCCCACUUCGAACUGGAUUUUGCCUUCUUACCCAGCUGGCUACAAAUCCGGCAUUGGCACACGAUUUUGAGAAGAGCUUUAUCGCGAGGUCCAGCGGCAAGGAGGCAGGAACCAAAGAGCUCCAAUCUGUCUCUUUAAUUGAGGGUUAAGGACGAAAUUUAAGGGAUUUGGGCAAUUUCAGACUUGGAAGCUGAUUGGCUACUCUUGAA
rnacentral:lncRNA from 1 species